rnacentral:rRNA from 1 species
UACGUAGGGUGCAAGCGUUGUCCGGAAUUAUUGGGCGUAAAGAGCUCGUAGGCGGUUUGUCGCGUCUGCUGUGAAAACUCGGGGCUUAACUCCGGGCCUGCAGUGGGUACGGGCAGACUAGAGUGCGGUAGGGGGAGACUGGAAUUCCUGGUGUAGCGGUGAAAUGCGCAGAUAUCAGGAGGAACACCGGUGGCGAAGGCGGGGUCUCUGGGGCCGUAACUGACGCUGAGGAGCGAAAAGCGUGGGGGAGC